rnacentral:rRNA from 1 species
CAGCAGCCACGGUAAUACGUAGGUGGCAAGCGUUAAUCGGAAUUACUGGGCGUAAAGCGUGCGCAGGCGGUUAUAUAAGUCAGAUGUGAAAUCCCCGGGCUCAACCUGGGAACUGCAUUUGAGACUGUAUGGCUAGAGUGUGUCAGAUGGGGGUAGAAUUCCACGUGUAGCAGUGAAAUGCGUAGAUAUGUGGAGGAAUACCGAUGGCGAAGGCAGCCCCCUGGGAUAACACUGACGCUCAUGCACGAAAGCGUGGGGAGCAAACAGGAUUAGAUACCCCCGUAGUCCCCUGUCUCUUAUA